GGAGUUAGCCGAUGCUGAUUCCUCAGGUACCGUCAGAGCUUCUUCCCUGAGAAAAGGGGUUUACAAUCCACAGACCUUCCUCCCCCACGCGGUAUUGCUCCGUCAGGCUUGCGCCCAUUGCGGAAAAUUCCCC
rnacentral:rRNA from 1 species